rnacentral:lncRNA from 1 species
CUGAGUAGAAGUGGAGAGAGGACAGACAUGGGACGGUAAGUCCAGAAAAGCAUCCCCAAGAAGGUAUCACCUGGUCCAGUCUUGAGGAGUAGUAAUACCUUCAGAGGGGGCUGAGGGAAGGAGGGCACCACGUGCAGAGAGAUGUGGGGGCAGUGGGGUCCCCAUGGCAACUAAACAUCAGUUCUGGGUUGGGGAAGCCUAAGCCCAAGUAGAGACGACCGAGAAUACAUCUGAGAAGCAGGUGGAAGCCAGUGCCUGGUGGCUCAGGUACCCUGCCAUGGGCUUGGACUUGAUCCCAUGUGAGUUUGAGCAGGGAGUAGCAUAUUUAGAUUUGUGUUUUAAGCCUGAGCACAUCAAGAGCUCAAGGUGGAGGGAAGAACAGUAGAGGGGAGAACACAAAGUGACCAGCAAGCAGGACAAGGGGCCACGGCGGUGGGGAUGCAGAGAGAGCAAGGACACCAGGAAUACUUAAAAAGGACACGGCAUGAUGUGACUGGGGGACUACAUGAAGAGGAGGAAAGGGUGCUGGCCCAUGAGGGUGCCUCAGAAGGAGAAGGGGUUUGGAGGAGGACGAGUCUGACAUGCAGUUAUAAGUCCGUAACGUGUAAUUGUAAGUCCUGAGCAUGGAGGCAGCAGCCCAAGGAGAGGGAGAAGAUCAGGGCAGAGGCCCAGUCCAGAGUCAGGGAAGGCACAAGCAUCCGGGGAUGAGUAAUCAAUGAAGGGACCUCCAGGAAGCAGAGGAGCAGAGGUCAGAGCCCACCCUGGUGGAGGGAGGAUGUGGUGAGGCUUGGCCACAGGAGGGCAGUAGAGUGCCCACAGAAGGCAGGCCAGAGAGGCAGAGGGUGAGGAGGGAAAAGGGACCGCCAGGAAGCAGAAUAGCACAUGUGGACCACCCUUUGGGAGGUGUGAGUGAAAUGGGGAAGAGAAAAAGGUGUAAAGUAGAAUGAGGGGAGAACUGUUUUUUAAACGGGAGAAGCCUGAACGAGGACCAGCUGGGGCAGAGGUGGGGGACGGGAGAAAAAAGUGCUGCCUGCAGGGCCCGGCCCCCAGGAGGGCAGAGGGCAUGUGUGCCGGCCCGGGAUCCUUUGGGGCCUCUCAGGACUGUCUCGGUUCCACUUCUCCCUUCAUAAGUGGAUCCGUACACUGUUUCCCGGGUCAACUAUGA